rnacentral:rRNA from 1 species
CCCUGCCAUUUGUACACACCGCCCGUCGCUCCUACCGAUUGAAUGGUCCGGUGAAAUUUUCGGACUGUGGCUAUUAAGGAUGGAAACAUCCUAUAGCACACAGAAAGUCAAUUGAACCUUAUCAUUUAGAGGAAGGAGAAGUCGUAACAAGGU